rnacentral:lncRNA from 1 species
AACUUGGCCGACUGUGCGUUGAGUGUUUACAGUGCGGUCGUGUCGGGGGCCGAUUCGUACGUUAUUCCUCCGCUCCAGUGAAGCUCAAUGAGAUGAUUCAGGGACACGGCGAGUGAUUCGUUUGUUUUCCUCAGUGUUUUUUAAUUUUUUUUUUAUUGUUUUUGGGCCGAGUGAGCGGGAGGGAGCCAGGGAGGGCUACGUCUGCUCACACUGGAGGAAUUGUGUGUGUGUGUGUGUGUGUGUGUGUGUGUGUGUGUGCUUUUAAACCGUCUCCCUCCUUAACGCCCUUGGAUGACACAGCUCACUGAUGCAUCUCGCUCAUUAUCAUCACACACACACACACACACACACACACUCUGAAUAAUGGCUACUGUGUGUUAAUCUGUGUGUCAUGAGGAAUGCUCGAGGGGCCCCGCGUGCAGCCGUGUAACCUCCUCAGCCUCUCCGAGUCACACUGUGUGAAGACACGGUCAGAUCUGAAACAACAACAACAGCGACGGCGAAGAAGACGAUGAAUCAUUUGUCAGUACAUCGUUACAGUAAAUGGCUUCUACACUGUAUCGAACCAAACGGAAGAAAAGCAGUGGCUCUCUGACAGAGCAUGAGGGACAAUGAACGGCAAAGGGCAACAGAUCGUAACCGAAACAGCGGCUGCUGCAGAGGACUCAGUCCCUGUGGGACGCCUGCUCCACCAGUGUAACGGGAGCCCUGUACCUGCUGAGCCGAGCCCCGACCCCCGCGACCUCUGACCCCACCUGCCAGGUCUUUCUCAUGCCCACCCUGACCUGCGGUGAAACCAGAGAGCGCUGUGGGAGAGAGGGAAGUGCGACCGGCAUCAAACGUCGUCAUCGAGGUAAACAGCUUCCCGGUUCAGAGGUGGAAGAUGAAAUGAAGCCUGAACAUG